rnacentral:tRNA from 1 species
GGUGUCAUAGCCAAAAUGGUAAGGCAAGGUCUGCAAAACCCAGAGUAUCAGUUCGAAUCUGAUUGGCACCA